GCGGCCGUCUGUUUGUUCCUGCCAGAGGUUACUGCUAUCGAGGUCCGACUAAGCCAUGCGAGUCGAAUGUAGCAAUACAUGGCGUACUGCUCAGUAACACGUGGACAACCUACCCUCAGCACGGGGAUAAACCUGGGAAACUGGGUAUAAUACCCGAUAGUUCUGGGAAGCUGGAAUGCUUCCAGGGCGAAAGCUCCGGCGACUGAGGAUGGGUCUGCGGCCUAUCAGGUAGUAGUGGGUGUAAUGUACCUACUAGCCUACGACGGGUACGGGUUGUGAGAGCAAGAGCCCGGAGAUGGAUUCUGAGACACGAAUCCAGGCCCUACGGGGUGCAGCAGGCGCGAAAACUUUACAAUGCUGGCAACAGCGAUAAGGGGACCUCGAGUGCCAGGAUACAAUCUUGGCUGUCGUGAUGCCUAAAAAGCAUUGCAUAGCAAGGGCCGGGCAAGACCGGUGCCAGCCGCCGCGGUAACACCGGCGGCUCGAGUGGUAACCGCUAUUAUUGGGUCUAAAGGGUCUGUAGCCGGCCGGAUAAGUCUCCUGGGAAAUCCAGCAGCCCAACUGUUGGGCUUUCAGGAGAUACUGUUCGGCUCUAGACCGGGAGAGGGUGAGAGGUACUUCAGGGGUAGGGGUGAAAUCUUGUAAUCCUUGAAGGACCACCAGUGGCGAAGGCGUCUCACCAGAACGGACCUGACGGCAAGGGACGAAAGCUAGGGGCACGAACCGGAUUAGAUACCCGGGUAGUCUCUAGCCGUAAACGAUACUCGCUAGGUGUCGGCCACGGUGCGACCGUGGUCGGUGCCGUAGGGAAGCCGUGAAGCGAGCCACCUGGGAAGUACGGCCGCCAGGCUGUAAACUUAAAGGAAUUGGCGGGGGAGCACUACAACGGGUGGAGCUGCGGUUUAAUUGGAUUCAACGCCGGAAAGCUUACCGGGAUCGACAGCGAUAUGAAGGCCAGGCUGAAGACCUUGCCGGAUUAGCUGAGAGGUGGUGCAUGGCCGUCGUCAGUUCGUACUGUGAAGCAUCCUGUUAAGUCAGGCAACGAGCGAGACCC
rnacentral:rRNA from 1 species